rnacentral:rRNA from 1 species
GAGUUUACAACUCCCAAACCCCUGUGAACAUACCUAUACGUUGCCUCGGCGGAUCAGCCCGCGCCCCGUAAAAAGGGACGGCCCGCCCGAGGACCCCUAAACUCUGUUUUUAGUGGAACUUCUGAGUAAAACAAACAAAUAAAUCAAAACUUUCAACAACGGAUCUCUUGGUUCUGGCAUCGAUGAAGAACGCAGCAAAAUGCGAUAAGUAAUGUGAAUUGCAGAAUUCAGUGAAUCAUCGAAUCUUUGAACGCACAUUGCGCCCGCCAGUAUUCUGGCGGGCAUGCCUGUUCGAGCGUCAUUUCAACCCUCAAGCUCAGCUUGGUGUUGGGACUCGCGGUAACCCGCGUUCCCCAAAUCGAUUGGCGGUCACGUCGAGCUUCCAUAGCGUAGUAAUCAUACACCUCGUUACUGGUAAUCGUCGCGGCCACGCCGUAAAACCCCAACUUCUGAAUGUUGACCUCGGAUCAGGUAGGAAUACCCGC